rnacentral:rRNA from 1 species
UACGGGGGGGGCAAGCGUUGUUCGGAAUUACUGGGCGUAAAGGGCUCGUAGGCGGCCAACUAAGUCGGAUGUGAAAUCCCCAGGCUCAACUUGGGAACUGCAUCCGAUACUGGAUGGCUUGAAUUCGGGAGAGGGAUGCGGAAUUCCAGGUGUAGCGGUGAAAUGCGUAGAUAUCUGGAGGAACACCGGUGGCGAAGGCGGCUCGCUGGGCCAGUUCUGACACUCAUCCGCGAAAGCGUGGGGAGCAAACAGG